rnacentral:rRNA from 1 species
UGGGGAAUAUUGGACAAUGGGCGCAAGCCUGAUCCAGCCAUGCCGCGUGGGUGAAGAAGGCCUUCGGGUUGUAAAGCCCUUUUGUCCGGAAAGAAAAGCUCGUGGUUAAUACCCGCGGGUUCUGACGGUACCGGAAGAAUAAGCACCGGCUAACUUCGUGCCAGCAGCCGCGGUAAUACGAAGGGUGCAAGCGUUACUCGGAAUUACUGGGCGUAAAGCGUGCGUAGGUGGUGAGUUAAGUCUGUCGUGA